ensembl:lncRNA
GCUUAAUCUGUGCAGCUGGAGGCCUGGGUCAGCUGUAGCCUGUGGGGCCCUGGGAAGCCUCCUCUCUGGGACCCGUGACCCCAAACCUUGGGUCAUCCUCGGGGCCAGAAUUUAGAUUUGGGUACAGGAGCUCAGAACUUUUUAAUUCGAUGGUUUGGAGGUGGAGGGAUCAGGCCUGAGGGAUCCAGACAGCAGGUCUUUCUCUGUCAGGUCCAUGAAGGGGAUGAAGAGACAGGAGGCUAGGGUCCUGGGCUCUUAGGCCUGGGAGGAGAAGAAGGCACCCUGAAGGCUUCAUAGGGUGGAGAGGGUGAUGCUUGGACAGGGGGGUCCACCCUUGGUGUCCUUGGUAUGGUGGUGUAGGUCUGGGGAGGAGGAAUGCCUUUUUCAUGUCUCAGGAAAAUGUUAGGGGGACCCACGGCCCAGACUCAUGACUGAUCUCCUUGUCACCCUUGUGGCCUCCAGGCUCCAGUUCACAUCCUGUCCUUUGAUCUCCAGGAAGCACCUUCAUGGCCAGCAGCAGACAGGGAUAGAGGUUCCAGAGUUCAUUCCCUGGCGGAAGAGUCUAUAACCUUGUCAGUGGCUGGAAGAAGUGAUAAG